CAGUAGCCGCGGUAAUACGUAGGGUGCGAGCGUUAAUCGGAAUUACUGGGCGUAAAGCGUGCGCAGGCGGUUACGUAAGACAGGUGUGAAAUCCCCGGGCUUAACCUGGGAACUGCGCUUGUGACUGCACAGCUAGAGUAUGGCAGAGGGGGGUGGAAUUCCACGUGUAGCAGUGAAAUGCGUAGAGAUGUGGAGGAACACCGAUGGCGAAGGCAGCCCCCUGGGCCAAUACUGACGCUCAUGCACGAAAGCGUGGGGAGCAAACAGGAUUAGAUACCCGCGUAGUCCCUGUCUCUUAUAC
rnacentral:rRNA from 1 species